rnacentral:rRNA from 1 species
ACACGUAGGGGGCAAGCGUUGUCCGGAAUUACUGGGCGUAAAGGGUGCGUAGGCGGCCAAAUAAGUCAGAUGUGAAAGUCCAGGGCUUAACCGUGGAAUCGCAUUUGAAACUGUAUGGCUUGAGUGCAGGAGAGGAGAGCGGAAUUCCUAGUGUAGUGGUGAAAUGCGUAGAUAUUAGGAAGAACACCAGUGGCGAAGGCGGCUCUCUGGACUGUAACUGACGCUGAGGCACGAAAGCGUGGGGAGCGAACAGGAUUAGAUACCCUGGUAGUCCACGCCGUAAACGAUGAGUGCUAGGUGUCGGGAGUCAAAUCUCGGUGCCGGAGUAAACACAAUAAGCACUCCGCCUGGGGAGUACGGUCGCAAGACUUAA